CCUACGGGAGGCAGCAGUGAGGAAUAUUGGACAAUGGGGGCAACCCUGAUCCAGCCAUGCCGCGUGAGUGAUGACGGCCUUAGGGUUGUAAAGCUCUUUCGCUAGGGAAGAUAAUGACGGUACCUAGUAAAGAAGCCCGGCUAACUUCGUGCCAGCAGCCGCGGUAAUACGAAGGGGGCUAGCGUUGUUCGGAAUCACUGGGCGUAAAGCGCGCGUAGGCGGACUUUUAAGUCAGGGGUGAAAUCCCGGGGCUCAACCUCGGAACUGCCUUUGAUACUGGAAGUCUUGAGUUCGAGAGAGGUGAGUGGAAUACCGAGUGUAGAGGUGAAAUUCGUAGAUAUUCGGUGGAACACCAGUGGCGAAGGCGGCUCACUGGCUCGAUACUGACGCUGAGGUGCGAAAGUGUGGGGAGCAAACGGGAUUAGAUACCCUGGUAGUCCACACCGUAAACGAUGAAUGCCAGUCGUCGGGUAGCAUGCUAUUCGGUGACACACCUAACGGAUUAAGCAUUCCGCCUGGGGAGUACGGUCGCAAGAUUAAAACUCAAAGGAAUUGACGGGG
rnacentral:rRNA from 1 species